rnacentral:rRNA from 1 species
GAUGUUGCCUGAAAAGUUUUGCAUGGAAUAAUGGAAUAGGACUUCGGUUCUAUUUCGUUGGUUUUCGGAUCCGAAGUAAUGAUCAAAAGAGACAGGCGGGGACGUUUGUAUGGUUGCGCUAGAGGUGAAAUUCAUGGACCGUAACCAGACAAACUAAAGCGAAAGCAUUCUCAAGCAUGUUUUCAUUGGCCAUGAGCGAAAGUCAGAGGCUCGAAGACGAUCAGAUACCGUCCUAGUUCUGACCAUAAACGAUGCCAACUGACGAUCCGUGGUGGUAGUAUUUUAACCAUCCCCACGGGCAGUCCCCGGGAAACCUUUAAGUCUUUGGGUUCCGGGGGAAGUAUGGUUGCAAAGCUGAAACUUAAAGGAAUUGACGGAAGGGCACCACCAGGAGUGGAGCCUNNGGCUUAAUUUGACUCAACACGGGAAAACUCACCCGGCCCGGACACUGUGAGGAUUGACAGAUUGAUAGC